GCCUGGGUGGCUCAGUUGGUUGAGCAACCGACUUCAGCUCAGGUUAUGAUCUCACUGCUUGUGAGUUCGAGCCCCACGUCGGGCU
rfam:Felis catus isolate Cinnamon breed Abyssinian chromosome D2, whole genome shotgun sequence.